AGAGUUUGAUCCUGGCUCAGGAUGAACGCUGGCGGCGUGCUUAACACAUGCAAGUCGAACGGACCCAUAUUGAAACCUAGUGAUAUAUGGGUUAGUGGCGGACGGGUGAGUAACGCGUGGGUAACCUGCCUUACACAGGGGGAUAACACUUAGAAAUAGGUGCUAAAACCGCAUAAGCGCACAGCUUCGCAUGAAGCGGUGUGAAAAACUCCGGUGGUGUAAGAUGGACCCGCGUCUGAUUAGCUUGUUGGCGGGGUAACGGCCCACCAAGGCGACGAUCAGUAGCCGGCCUGAGAGGGCGGACGGCCACAUUGGGACUGAGACACGGCCCAGACUCCUACGGGAGGCAGCAGUGGGGAAUAUUGCACAAUGGGGGAAACCCUGAUGCAGCGACGCCGCGUGAGUGAAGAAGUAAUUCGUUACGUAAAGCUCUAUCAGCAGGGAAGAAAAUGACGGUACCUGAGUAAGAAGCCCCGGCUAACUACGUGCCAGCAGCCGCGGUAAUACGUAGGGGGCAAGCGUUAUCCGGAUUUACUGGGUGUAAAGGGAGCGUAGACNGUGCGCCAAGUCUGGAGUGAAAUGCCGCAGCUUAACUGCGGAACUGCUUUGGAAACUGGCGAACU
rnacentral:rRNA from 1 species